rnacentral:rRNA from 1 species
UUCUCCUGGAAAAGGGUGGUAAUGCCGGAUGCUCCAGUUGAUCGCAUGGUCUUCUGGGAAAGCUUUCGCGGUAUGGGAUGGGGUCGCGUCCUAUCAGCUUGACGGCGGGGUAACGGCCCACCGUGGCUUCGACGGGUAGCCGGCCUGAGAGGGCGACCGGCCACAUUGGGACUGAGAUACGGCCCAGACUCCUACGGGAGGCAGCAGUGGGGAAUAUUGCACAAUGGGCGCAAGCCUGAUGCAGCGACGCCGCGUGAGGGAUGGAGGCCUUCGGGUUGUAAACCUCUUUUAUCGGGGAGCAAGCGAGAGUGAGUUUACCCGUUGAAUAAGCACCGGCUAACUACGUGCCAGCAGCCGCGGUAAUACGUAGGGUGCAAGCGUUAUCCGGAAUUAUUGGGCGUAAAGGGCUCGUAGGCGGUUCGUCGCGUCCGGUGUGAAAGUCCAUCGCUUAACGGUGGAUCCGCGCCGGGUACGGGCGGGCUUGAGUGCGGUAGGGGAGACUGGAAUUCCCGGUGUAACGGUGGAAUGUGUAGAUAU